rnacentral:rRNA from 1 species
GUUCAUGACUGGGGUGAAGUCGUAACAAGGUAGCGCUAGGGGAACCUGGCGCUGGAUCACCUCCUUA